rnacentral:rRNA from 1 species
CACGUAGGGGGCAAGCGUUGUCCGGAUUUGUUGGGCGUAAAGAGCUCGUAGGUGGUUCGGUAAGUCGGGUGUUAAACCCCCAGGCUCAACCUGGGGACGCCACUCGAUACUGCUGUGACUAGAGUCCGGUAGGGGAGCGUGGAAUUCCUGGUGUAGCGGUGAAAUGCGCAGAUAUCAGGAGGAACACCAGCGGCGAAGGCGGCGCUCUGGGCCGGUACUGACACUGAGGAACGAAAGCCAGGGGAGCAAACGGG